CCAAAAUAAUUCCGCAUAAAUCCACAGAUUUUUAACAAAAUUCUAAAAAUCGGUUCUAGUUUUUAGGCAUAAUUAUAUACUAUAUUAACUUGGUGUAUUAAGUAACUAAUAAUAGAUAAUUAUGACACCUUAGAUGUGCAUAUCAAAUAUGAUACUGUUAGUUUAAAUGGAACUUGAAGAAGGGGAGAUCAUUUUUAACACAUAACAAGUAUGUGUGAGAUGCCUUGUAAUGUUACAAAAUGCGAUCACGCUUAUACAUCUUAAUCACGAAUAUUAACUUAAUCUGUAUGGCAACACAAAACUGCACUAAUGUGCCUUGCCCUACAUAGAAAACAUUUGUACCUCUCAAAUCAAUUGACUGAGCCUCCCUUGUGUCGCUUGUGUCAGUGGUCACCUCCUAUUCUUCUGUUUCUGUUCUGACCUUCAAAGUUCCAGUUCAAACACCACGUCUUGGGGGUCACCAAUCAGGUCACCUCCUGACACUAGUCUUGACCUUUGGUCAUAUCAGCAGGUCAUGACUGAUCUAAACUCUGACAGGGCGACUGAAUGAAGGCUUUCUUCUCUCUAAUAUUCAUUCAACACCUCCAAAAACGACUUGUGUCGUCCCACUUGGCUCAUGUCAGAACGGUCAUCUUUUGGUUGAUUUGUUUGAAGAUGCCUUGGGCAGCCAGUGUGAAAGGGUAUUUCUGGAAUAGUCCCAAAUGACAUGUGGAGACUAUCUGGACAUUUCAGUCACUACAGAUAUUCUAAGAUCUCGCUGCUUAUCAAGAAGCACAGCAGAAAAAGAAAAGAAAAAAGAGGAUAAAACAGGGCUAAUACUGAGAAAAGAGCACAUGAAAACGAGAGAGCGAGGUGGGACUUUCGGUGGGAACGCGGCAAAGCCGGUGUUAUAAUAAACCCUUAUUCUCCGCUUGGAAUCUCUAAUGGGAAAAUCAAGUGCUGUGACUCCUGUAUAAUAGGAUUUGCCGGGUCUCGUGCUGCAUCAGGGCCCAGUGGGCAGCACAAAGCCUGUUAAGGCUGGACAAGCAUUACUAGAAAGGGGGGUGUGGAGCAGAACGGGCCUGUGGUGUAAGGGGGCGAAGGUAGCCUUGACAACAAAGGUUGUGAAUGGGACAACUUUGAAUAUACUUGUGGAUAGUUGUGUGUAGUCCUACCUUUACAGUGAAAUAAACCUGCUGUUAGUAACAUACAGAACUAUUUAUCAGGGCAAGUGAUUAUUUUAAGGUUUAGGAAAUAUUCUGUAUUCAAUUCAGUAGAAGUUCACAAUUCUUAAGAACACAAAAUAAUUUUACUUAAUAUCUUACUUUGUCACAGCUGAUAACCUCACGUGUAGCUUUCUGACAAACAGCUCAGUUGUGCUUUGAAUAGUUUGAUUCAUGGCUCUGUGAACUUUCUUAAUUCCAGCUCCCUCUCUUUUCCCACUUCAGAUUUUUUGAAAAGAUCUUCGUGUUCUACAGAAUGAAGUAAUUUGAAUCAUUUUUGGUAAGACAUGAAUUAGAGUAAAUGAUGACAGAACUUU